ensembl:ncRNA C34H3.23 ncRNA
CAUGCUAAUAAAAUCUGACUUACGCCGGACAAUGAUACAGAAUGUGAUGAGCACAUUCCAUUGACAUACGCUAAUCCACCGGCAUACUUGUAUGAUAUAAGAGUUGCAAAUUCGUGGUCAGGUAGUUUGUGCAACCUGGAAACUACAUUCAAAACCUUUAACCAAAAUUUUUCAAAAUUCACCUCGAAUUUCUAUAUUCAUGGAAAGACUGUAAACUGAG